ensembl:lincRNA predicted gene 14009
AGUGAAGCUCUGGCUGCCCUUGGAGCCAGCAGAGCCACAGCUUAAGUGGCCUGGACUGCUUUCUGCUCUGGACCCCUGGUUCCCUCCUUGUCAUGGAGGAGGGGUGGUAUUCUUCAUUUUUCUCAGUCCUGAGAAGAACAGAGAAGAACAAUCUUUGCAUCGUCCAUCUGCAGCUGUUUACAGCUAAGGGGGAUGCUGUACCAUCUACUGUGUUCCUGUGAGCAGUAAGAGACCUACUGGCUUUCAUGUCGUUUCCAACACUUGGUGGACCUCCUUGCCCAUCUGGCAGAUGAGCUGAGUUCUUGACACACGUCAGGUACCUGACAACACCUGUAACUCCAGCUCCCGGAGUCUGACCCUUCUCCUGGCCUCCCAGGCACCUGUACUAACAUGCCCAUACCCACAUGCAGACACGACUAAGCAAUUCUGUUUGGAGCUAACUUUUGGGGGCAUCAAAGGUGUUUGACUCAAGUUUGAACCCAAGAUCUCCUCAGACAUCCUUCAAACAAGUAUCCUCCGAUGAUUCAGAAACCCCACAAACAGAAAUGUUAGCAAAAGACCUAGGAAAGCUGACCUUCAACCAUAGUGCUAUGAAGCUUUCUUCUCCUUGACCAGAAAAGGACAUCAUCAUCACCACCACCACCACCAUCAUCAUC